rnacentral:misc_RNA from 1 species
ACUAGAUUACACUCAGACACAUGAAGCGCUUCUCCUCCGUGCUGCCUGCGGCCGUCCUAGGCUACGGUAGCGCCACGGCAGUGCGGGCCCACCGAAGAUAUGCCGCAGCUGUCGCAGACGCAGAUGAGCGGGUGAACGCUCAGCAGCAGCAGGAUGAAAAGCCCGAGGCGCAUCGACAGCAGCAGCAGCGCACAGCUGCGGAAGAAAACGCUCUUGGCUCCACUGCUGACGAAGAGCCGCCGCGGCGGCGCAACAUUGUGGUUCUCAGCAACACUACCAAGGCCGUUUACGUGCAUCCGACGAACCAUAUCGCCUCCUGGUAUUGGUUCAUCACUGACUUUCACAAGUGGUUCGUCGGCAUAGUUUUUCUUUUCGUCGGCACGCAGGUUAUCGCGCGCUAUCGCGUGUCGAAGCUUCAGACGGCGACGCAGGCGCAACUCGGAGAGAACUUGCUGGACCAGCGCACUCGUGACCUGCUGAGCGACAUCGAGGUGUUGCGCAAAAAGGACCCGAUCCGACUCGAGCAUGAGGCGAACAUAUACCAUGAGCAAUUCUGGAAGCGGCGCGCGCUGGCGGUGGCCUCGUCGCGAAAUGAGGUGCGUUCGCUGGAGAUCCAGCGCGGCAAGAUGCAAGGAGAAGCCCGAGGAACCGAUAUGACGGAGUGGUUAGGGGCAAAGGCCAAGGACGACGAGGAGCGCGAGGUAGCACGCCGCACGCAGGACUACAUCCAAGGAUUUCAUCAGCACUUAAAGUCGAAGCGCCUCAUCUAAUUGGGCUUACAUGUUGUUUUUUUUUUCCGUGGUGGUGGCGUUUCGAAAGUGUUUACGCGGACCCCGCCAACGCACUUUGACUUGUCGACGAGCAUGCACGUGGGCGUGGGCUUAUCGGUUUUUGCAUGCACAAGUCAGCAUUUCCGACCUCUCUUGGCACCUGCGCGGUCGAUGCUGGCGAGGAGUACAGCUUGCCGCUGGACGGUCUGCACGUUUAUGUCGUGGUGCACUCUAGUGCUUGUCUUUUCGCUUUUUUUUAUUGCAGUUGACAUCACAGGCUUUCUGCAACGUCACACACGGUAAUGUUCGGCGACGGGCACGGAAGAGGAAUGCCGCGACACCGACGGUUUGCCCUCAAGAGAGGCACACAGCGGUGCAGACGAGGCGCGAAGCAAAGUGAAGCGGCAAAAGAGGCGAAAGAAACAAAGUGCGCCAAGCCCCAAAUGUGGACAGUGACGGAGCCCUCCCUUUCGCACCGAAAAGUGCUGGUACUGCCGCUUCACUGCACCAGACGUCCCCGCUGCUGCAAGAGGUAGCUGCUGUAGAGCCCGACGACCGGGCGAAGAGCGGAUCGGUGGAGAGGACAAAAAAGAAUGCCAACUUCGUCCCCUUCAUGUCGCGCACACGUCGAGGGGCACGAGGCCGUGAUGACAGGUGGCAGCGAUUCCUGUUGUGCCCGCCCAGCAUUCUUCCAUCUCACCCGCUCUGUGCGUGAUGCUCUUUUUUGUUUCUCGAAUUUGUACCUAUUCCACCGCUCUCGCUUCCCUCCCGUCUCGAUUCAUCUAUGGCUCAUGCCAUUCGCUGCCACUCUCCUGUGCUGACGCAUGUUGCUUGCUGCGUGGCGCGUGGUGAUCGUCACCGCCGCCACCCAAG